GUUUUCUCUUUACAUUCUCUGCUUCAGUUACGAGGACUCUGACAAGUGCCCGAUUCUCUACGGCGACGAUCAGCUUUCCCUACCAGCCUCUGUCAGGUAUAUCAUUCAACUGAAAUGAUUGAUUUAUGUUUGGGAAAAUACUGAGGAGAACCUGACGGUGACUAGAGACAUAUGUCUCAUCACCUGUAACCUUUGGAGAACAGAACCAGAAGAAGCAAACUCUCCUUUCUUCACCAAGGCCAUCCCUCCACGAAAGUAUACCGUAAGCUGUAUGGAAAAUGAAAUAAAAACACUAGCACAUUUGCUCAGAUUUGGACAUUUGAACAUUACUCCAAGCCUGGAAUAACUGUAAUGGAAUCAGAGGUUUAAAUGAUAGAUUUGAAGGAUUCUGAGUGAGGUCUCAGAUAGACAUCUUACCUAAUUUGUGACCAAGCCAGUGGAACUAGAAACCUCUCUGCCACAUCCCUGAGAAGUAGGCAUUCCAAAUCGGCUUGGCCCUUCUGGGAACAGGGAGCUUCUGUCUCAAGGCAGCCCCUGAAAAUGUGGAUUGUUUCUUUUAAAAAAUUUGUUUAAUGUUCAUUUUUGCUCCUGAACUGUAAGAUUAUGACCUGAGCCGAAGUCAGACGCUUAACUGACUGAGACACCCGGGCACCCCAUGGAUUAUUUCUAAAUAUCCAAAAGCAAGCCCUACAUGACUCCAAAUGGACUCUCCGCACUUCCAGGAAACAGGAUAAUUUGAACACAUGCCUCUACUUUUAUUCCCACCUAAACGAAACCCAUCUGAACAACAGGGAGAGGAUUUUUUUUUCCCUCUGAAGGCAUAGAAUGAAGGAUUGGAUGAAUAGAAACAGUAGCAGCAAAACGUGGAAUUUGGAAAACAGAAAAACACAUGCUGAACUAUUACGAUCCUAUCAAAGCCAUCAUUUCAAGCCCCAACCACGAGCCUACAGCUCUAGUAAUAGUUCCCUCAGAUGGUGACGGGCCCGCCUCUCAUGCUGCUUGGUCACCGAUAAAGACUAGCUGCCACUCUUGGUCCCCAGUACAGCCACCUCUGGGAAGGUUCUCGUUGCACCAGUCUGGCCCAUCUUUGGGACAACUGCAAGCCAACUGACCUGGGAAAGGCAGGGAAAGUAAGAGGCUGACCGUGCCCAUGCAACUACAUGAUGUAGGAGGAGGCAUGCUUUCCAGAAGUGGGGAUGGGAAGAGGAGGUUUACCCAUUACAAAAAAGUGAAGAAUGGUGCCUGCACUCAGCCCCACAACUCAGAAAUGGAAGAACGAGGACUUGAAUCUAGGUCAUCUGUGCUAGUCAUCUUGGGACCCACCGCGAUGGCCUCCCCGGGGUGUGGGCUAGAAUUGAAGAGUCCUGGGCCUCCCUCGGAACAAUGGGACCCGAGUCUGUGCUUGAAAAAGAACCGAGGGUGACUUGUAUACAUGUCAAGUCUGAGAAGCACCCUUUAAACACAACAACACAAAUUUUUCUAUGUUUCUAAUUAUACUAAUAUUUUUAUAUAUUUUUUCUAAUAAAUUGCCCUUUGAAGGCCA